UAACAGUCUCCAGUCAGGGCC
rnacentral:miRNA from 1 species